UAGCUCGUUAUGGAAAUUGCAAUGGCUGUAGUUAUUAACUAGGUUAUGGUCUUAAAGUGAUUGUUUUAUUGGGGAAAGGUAUAUUUAUUCUCUUUAUUUCACUUAUGCGUGUAAAAUCGACUCUGAUGAACGAAGAUCGAAAUGUUAGACAUUAUCUAUAAUCACGACUAUGUAUCAAAAGCAUGGAAAAAUGGAGGAAUGUGACUAUGUGCGUCUGAAAUGACGGAAACAGGUGCUAUUCGAUAGUUAAAAAGAAGAAAGAAAAGAAAAGAUGGAAAACGAUAACGUAUUUCGGCGAAAACAAGGCACGGAAAAAGCGUAUAUAGGUAGAUCUUUUAGGUAGAGAAAAUAUUUUACAUAAUGUACACAUAGGGCACGCAAAUGUACCGUGUAAUAAAAUAUCCACGAUUGAGUGUACCUAUGCAUGCAUGGAAAACGACCCCUUAAAAUAUUUCUCGGUAUUUGUCGAUGUUUUGCGAGCUAGAAUGCAUUAAAGUGCAUAUCUACUGAUUACACCUCCGAAAACAUUCUUUAAACGAUAAUAAUUUAUUUUUGUAGCAUUCAGAUAAAAUACUGAGUCCAUUUUUUCAAACUCACUCGCGCUAAUAUUUUGUUUUCUCAUUAUAUUAUACAAUUUUAUGAGGUUAGGAAACACUAUUAUUCAUUAGUAAAUGAAUUUCAAGAAUUUAUUUCUAUUCGUUAUCGUUCUUCGAAAUACGAUAGUUCUGUAACGUAUGAGAAAAUAUAAUGUACAGAAUAUUUGCGAAAUUAAUUCAUUAUUCCGCGAAGAAUUGUAAUUCUUCGUGAUCUCACCGAGUGUUUUUAUAGUAAAAAUCGAUCACGACGUCAUUUCCACUUUGCCUUGAACUUGACAAAAUAUGCACGCUAAUGAAAUUAUGCGAAUCCGCUUAAGCGAGAAUUACAUACGUUUAACUCUCAAAUAGACCGAAUUGGAUCACCGAUAAUACCUUAUACGAACUCGUAAUAAGUUAUUCGAUAUCGAUAUCUCGAUUAAAGUUGACGAUGUAUGGUAGCGUAAAUCAAAAUUCGCGCGCGAAUCGAGUAUCGCCCGGUCGAUAUGGACUCGCGAGAAAGAUCGCAAAUGGCGGCAAACACCGAGAAAGUCGAUCGCUGUCAAAGAGAACUCGAGUAACCCGGCUGCGACUGGUAUAACAAAAGGAGGACCCCGACGUUUUCGCGGGACGAGGUUUCAUAAACGGAAUUGUAUACUAUUAAUGCGCGUAUUCAAAAUAGAUGAAGCGUUCGAUGUCCGAUUAUAUGUUCCCGAUUUGCAGUUAACAGGUUGCCGUAUAUCAUUCUAUUGUACUAACGAAUCAUAUUUUCCAUGAUUUAUGGAUGAGGAAAACGUCCUAUAUCACGCAAAGUCAAACGAACGCGUUAAAUAAUUCAACACGUUCCGUGUAUGUUACAGUCUUCACGAGUUUACGAAGAACAUACCGAUAAAAUGUGCAAUAUCUCUUUCGCAACAAAGGCGACGAAACGAUUCGAUUACUUCGAGGAUGGUGCAGUUAACUUCUUUAACUCGAACGUGCUCCAUGAUGUAUUUUUAUGGAAUAUCUUUCAAAAGAGAAAAUCGUAGGAUAGAGAGUACCUUAAUUUAAAAGGAAGAAGGAAAAGGAAAUGGAAAAACGUAAUUGGUACCUUUCGACAACGAGGAAUGUAUAUUUUGAAUUCAAACGAAAUGUAUUUUGUCCUUAAUAUUUAUUUACGGCGUGUUACGUCGAAGGGUAUAUAGCUACUUUUUACAAAGGUACUUUUUCUAAGGAAGAAAUUGAAAACAAAGACUAACGAAACAAUGUUGUUUUAUAAUGCAUAAUGAAACUUUUUGAACAUGUUAUUACGACUUUUUCCUGGAUAUAAAGGGGAAAGUGUUUCAGAUGUAAAGUAUACAUGACUAAAAAAGUACCCUUAUUCUCUGUCAUGGAAAACUAUCUUGGAUAUUUUUAUUCAGACGAUUAUCAUUAAGAAGCAUUUAGAUAGAGACUGAAAAGAGACUGCUCGACAUCGUGUUCACUGCGAUCGUGGUUCACAAUAUUAAUUAUCAUCACUACCCUCACUACCACGUGGCACGUGGAAUGUAUAGAUUUAUACUUGUUUGUUUAUUUAUUGUUAGGUAGCAAACAUGAAGGAAACCACGAACAAAAAGUUCGCGGUGCAGAGAGGAGCCAACUUUUAGAUCAACCUUGACUGUUUAGCCUUUAGAUUUUAUUAGCUUUAUAAGAACGACUAAAACAUUAUUUUGUUGAUAUAUAUUGUACGACAUUAUUGAUUAUAAAUCAUGAAUAAUCUGUAAAUAUAUGAGACCAAUGCAAAA
rnacentral:lncRNA from 1 species